GCUUGUCUCAAAGAUUAAGCCAUGCAUGUCUAAGUAUAAGCACUUAUACCGUGAAACUGCGAAUGGCUCAUUACAUCAGUUAUAGUUUAUUUGAUAGUCCCCACUACUUGGAUAACCGUAGUAAUUCUAGAGCUAAUACAUGCGUCAAGUCCUGACUGCGCGAGCGGAAAGGAUGUGUUUAUUAGAUACAACCAACCCUUCGGGUACAUGGUGAAUCAUAAUAACUUUUCGAACCGCAUGCGCAAGCGGCGGUGGUUCAUUCAAGUUUCUGCCCUAUCAGCUUUCGAUGGUAGGGUAUUGGCCUACCAUGGCUUUCACGGGUAACGGAGGAUCAGGGUUCGAUUCCGGAGAGGGAGCCUGAGAGAUGGCUACCACAUCCAAGGAAGGCAGCAGG
rnacentral:rRNA from 1 species